rnacentral:rRNA from 1 species
UACGUAGGGGGCAAGCGUUGUCCGGAUUUAUUGGGCGUAAAGAGCGUGUAGGCGGCCAAACAGGUCAGCUGUGAAAACUCGAGGCUCAACCUCGAGACGUCGGUUGAAACCGUUUGGCUAGAGUCCGGAAGAGGAGAGUGGAAUUCCCGGUGUAGCGGUGAAAUGCGCAGAUAUCGGGAAGAACACCCGUGGCGAAGGCGGCUCUCUGGGACGGUACUGACGCUGAGGUGCGAAAGCGUGGGGAGCAAACAGG